CGGUGCUGAUCUCUCAUUUUACACCUAGGACACAGGUUUAGAGAGGUCUUCUGACUUGCUCACAGCUAUGCAGCUAGUUCGGGACCUCAUUUUCUCUUUCCUUUUGGCAGAAGUUUAAUUCUGUUUGGUUGAAACUGUGGGGACCCUGAGGAAUUUGGUAGGAGCUGUUGACUCUACCUUCUGGAUCCUGCCAGAGCCACAGGAUGCUGUGAAUGUGCACGGCUUGGAACGUUCCCACCUUCCGUUAGGGGCUCAGAUCCAGAGGAGUGACUCACGCUUCUCAGAUGUAGGAACAGAAAUGUUGUGGCUGCACUGAAAGGUAUGCGGAAGGAAAUCAGCAGACGCCUGAACUUCAGCCAGGGGGACGAGCAAGGAUGACCGCACAGGCCCCAGUGCAGCAGGAGCAGGGAGCCCCUCCUCUGCCCUUCUGGAAGAGGCCGAGGCAUCCAGCUUGGGUUCAAAUCCCAACUCUGCCUCCUGGAUGCUGGGGACAUUGGGCAAGUCACUUGGCUUGUCUGAUCCUUUCUUUUCUCAUCCUUUAAAUGAGGAUAAUAUCUCUCUUGCAAGUUGUUGUAAAGAUUGUGAUAUUUUAUAUAAACAUAAGUAUACAUAUAUAU